GGAAUCAGAUGUAGUAUAAAAAAGAAAACUUGUUAAAAAGUUUUCAUUUGCUUUGCUCAAUUUUAUUACUCAAAAGUUUCUUAUUUUCUCAGAAAAACAAAAUCUCUGAUGCUUAAGAUCAACCCUGCCUCCUCUUAAAGUUGCCUUUGUCUUUUACUGGCUAUAGCUAAAGAGUACCAAAUUUUAUCUUCUCCAAAAUUAGGCUUUGCACAUCCGAGGCCCAUUUCUCAUUGGCUGAGUGAUACCUUGGGUAUUUAAAUAAUCAUUCGAUUAUUCCUGUUCUCCACAUCUAGAUGCUGCUAGAAAAGUGCUCACACUCUGUUAUCCAGCAUUCCCCCUCUUCGAAAACAAAGCAGAAAGGACUUACAGUCCGUUAUACAAGUCGUUUCACGAAGGACAGUGAACUGGAGUCUGUUCUUCACUGACAGGUGAAUUAUGUGGGCUGUGACCUGUGUCUUUUUUGUUAACGGCUACAUCCAUAGCACCUAGAACUGCCGUGGGUCUUAACUGCGUGGAGUGGAUUAAAGAGCCAGCUUUCACAAUCUGUUCAUGCAGCCAACGACUGAUAUAACACCACCCCUUAUGACCAGAGUCUUUAGAAGAAGAAGGGCAUUUGGACACAGACACAAGAAAGGACGCUUGUGAGACUUGUGUGAGGUAUGUCCUACAAGCUAAGGGAUGUCUAGGUCUGCCAUAACUGAAAGAGGCAAGGAGAAUCCUUUCCUGGAGGCUGUGGAAGAAUCAGGGCCCUGCCUUCUUUGUACUUUGUACGUCUAAUCUCCAAAUCUUGAGAGUAUACAAGUCAGUGGUACUUUGCAAGUGUUGGGAAUAUAUGACUGCAUACAGUAAGUACAGUUUUCAAGGGACAAGGAUUUGGCACAAGUGCGCUUUUGUGUUCUUGUACCCACAGAUGUAGCUCUGUUGAAGGAAAGAUGUGCCGUUUGUUGGCGAAAUCUUGUAAACAAAAUACUUCCAAGAUAGUGGAGGAGAGAAAGAGGCCGUGUCUCUUUCUUUGAUCGUGAUCUUGACUGAGGAACCUAUGACCAAGCAUUGUACAAAACAUGCGAGUGUUCUCUGGCUGCUGGCUGGGAAACAAUUAACUACCUUGUGUGGUUUCGAGACCCUCCGCUCUUGGAGAGCUGAGGCCCCUUUGACUUGAUGUUGGAGAAGUGGGAGUCACUCCAGACUGCCAGGAACAAACCAUUACUAGCAAGCCAGGUGAAAAAAAUAUCCACGUUGGCUGACAGGCAGGAUUGGGAGCUGUCAGUCUGGGGCUCACAGAACAAUAAUUAUUUCCAUCACAAAGACCAGCUGCCAGUAGACUCCUUGGAACUGGAUCAGCCUCUUGAACUGGGAGGUGCCUGCAUGUGGUGCCCCAACUUCCAUCUGUCUUUCCAGCAUGUGUCAGUUUUCAGUGGCCAUUUUUCUGCUCCUGGUCUUCUCGUCCCCCACUUCCUGCCGUUCUCAGUGUUCCCUUCAAAGAAUACCCUCUUUCUCUUAUACUCCAAUCUUGCUUUUCCUUCAAGAAUCAGACUGGCCACUAUCAUUAAGCCUUUCGCCAUCAGCUCCCUCUUCAUUUUUCAGUUCCCAUGGCACUAACGGUCUAACUAGAGUUCUUCAGCUACUGAAUGUGUCCAUCCGGAGUGGCCUGGGCCUUGCUAGAAAUGUGGGAAGGGGUGUGCCUAAGCCUGCAGUCUUGAUGCACCAGGGUAGGGGAUACCCAUGGUGUGGGGAUACCCAGGGUGGGGCCCCAUUCUCUCAGAAGGGAAGAGGAGGAGGGCAGGGGAGGGACUCUGUGUGUGUGUGGGACUGAGAGGGAGGGACAAUGUCUGGGAAGUAAAUUAAUUAAUAAAAAGAAAAGCAGACUCUUGGAGCUGGAGGUGGAGCCUAGUGAUGGAGUCUGUGUUUAGCCAUGUGUGGGCCUCUGAAGAUGAUGAGGGGGAAGGGAGGACGGGGAAGGAGGGAAGAAGGCAGCAAGGAGAAAAGGUCAGGAAAUGCAGAUUCUAAACAGGUUGCCAAUUACUAUAAUUUGCAUUGGAUUCACUUGGUCCAGCCUUCAACAGCCUUGGCAGGUAGUUAUGAGGGGCGACUAAAGGCUAGAAGCUCUGCUCUGCAGCCCUGCUGCUCCGGUGCCUGGUGACCAGACCAGACCAGCAGUCCCGAACCUGGACCUGGUUCCUGGACCUUUGGAGAGUUGAAGAUCUAGGCCCCACCUCAAAGCAGCUGAAAGUGACUUCCUUGAGUGUGGGGCCCAUCGAGGAAAACAAACAAACUCCAAGGAGCUUCAUCUGCACCCAAGAGUGAGAACCACUGAUCUAAUUAGCAUCUAAUUAGCAUCCGAUUAUGCCUUCUCAUUCUGCAGUAGGUAUUUGUCUCUCCCACAAGGUGGGACCGGAGGGCAAGAGACCAGUUGGUUGUGGCUGGGUGCUGACCCUCUUCUAAGCCCCUGGAGACAGAUGUCCUAGGAUCACUGGUGAGCUUCGGAUUCCUUUCCCAGUUCUGAAAAGCACGUGGGUGGUGGGGAGGAGGGGAAGGGAGCAGGGAGAGGACGUUUCUCCUGGGUCUUGGGUUGAGUCUUGAGGGGUGGUAUGCUCCCAUUCUUAAGUCAGAAGUCAUCCUUACCAUGUAGUUUUGUUAUCUUGUCUCACCAGCCUGACUUGAAUCAAAACUUGGUCUCUAACAGUUUUUUUUUUUUUUUCCUUUUGGUGGGUUUCCUCCCUGGAAAAAAGGUCACAUUUUUCUUUUGCUAUUAAAAUAAAGCAAUGCUGGCUCACUUGCUUUUUCUGGAUCAAUAGGUCUUUCAUCUGGGCAGUGGCCGAGCUGGCUCCUGGGCCCCACAGUAUCACUGAGAAGGAAUCUCAGACAUGACUAAUGUAUAGCCUCCUCGGCUUCCUACCCAUGAGCUCUCAUAAAUCGCUGCUGUGUUCCAUCAGCCUCAAUUCCCCGGCAGAGCGGAGUCCCAGGCUGGGGAGCAGCCUGCCCCUGCCCAAGAACUCGUCCUUCUCCGGCUGUCUGCUAGCCUCCUGGUUGCCAGACCUCAUUCCUUUUGAAUUGCUUAAUGGGUGCACAGUUUUUGUCGGGAGUCUCAGGAUGCUGGAGCUGGAAGGAACUGGAAAUCUUCUGCUUUUUUAUUUUACUGAUAGACAGAUUGGGGAGGAAGUUCCCGGCUAAAGGCUAUGCCGUUGGUCAAUAGUAGGCCGAGGAAUGGAUGGAUUGGCCGCUUUAGCAGUGAUGGCUUCCAUUUGGUGAAGCGCUUCAGUUUACACCGCUCCCACUAUCCUGACACCAAACCCAAGUCCAGCCAGGGGCCGUCCUCCAGGGGAAGGGCUCGUGGAGGAUGUGCUGGGCUUUCUUUCUCCAUUACCAUGACCAAAUUAUUCAACAAACAACUUAAGGGAGCAAAGCUUUCUUUUGGCUCACAGUUCAGGGGGUUUAGUCCAUCAAUGUUUGGCUCCACAUGUUUGGGCUGAAUUUCAUGGUAGCAGAGGACAGAUGUUCACAUCAUCAGUAGACAGGAAGCAGAGCUGGAACGGCUCUCUCUCCCAAGGAUCCAUCCUUAUCGACCCACUUCUGAGAGCUAGGACCCGCUGUCCAAGGGCCCUAGAGCCUCCCAAGACAUGGCCCCCAGCUGAGAACCAAGCACAUGGGGACAUAUCAGAAUCUAACUCAGGGACCGCCCACAGGCACUCAAAUCAAGUUCUGAAGGCAAGCAGGAGGCCUGCAGGGCAGAGCUGAGUUGUGGGGCUGCAUGUUCCAAGCUGAAGACUACAGGAAAGGACGCUGGCAUAAAGGACGUCGGGAGAUGGGGCAUGUCAACUGUAUUUCCUGGUUCUAAAAAGCCUUUUGCUAUCUGAUUUAUAAGUAUGUUAAUUUUGUAUAAAACCCAAAAUGAGGAGUAGGGG
rnacentral:lncRNA from 1 species